AGUUCGAUCAUGGCUCAGGUCGAACGCUGGCCGGGAUCACCCACAUGCAAGUCGAACGGCAGCACGGACUUCGGUCUGGUGGCGAGUGGCGAACAGGUGAGUAAUGUAUCGGAACGUGCCUAGUAAGCGGGGGAUAACUACUGCGGCGUAGCUAAUACCGCAUACGCCCUUCCAGGGAAAGCGGGGGACCUUCGGGCUCACGCACUGUUAAAGCGACCACUGCGAUAUCAGUUAAGCUAGUUGGUGGGAGUAACGGCUCACCAAGGCGACGAUCCGUAGCUGGUUUGAGAGGACGACCAGCCACACUGGGACUGAGACACGGCCCAGACUCCUACAGGAGGCAGCAGUGGGGAAUUUUUUGGACAGUAAACCUGAUCCAUGCAUCCCGCGUGUGCGAUGAAGGCCUUCGGGUUGUAAAGCGCUUUUGGCAGGAAAGAAACGGCACGGGAUAAUACCCGUGCAACCGGUACCUGCAGAAUAAGCACCGGCUAACUACGUGCCAGCAGCCGCGGUAAUACGUAGGGUGCAAGCGUUAAUCGGAAUACUGGGCGUAAAGCGUGCGCAGGCGGUUCGGAAAGAAAGAUGUGAAAUCCCAGAGCUUAACUUUGGAACUGCAUUUUUUAACUACCGAGCUAGAGUGUGUCAGAGGAGGUGGAAUUCCGCGUGUAGCAGUGAAAUGCGUAGAUAUGCGGAGGAACACCGAUGGCGAAGGCGACCUCCUGGGAUAACACUGACGCUCAUGCACGAAAGCGUGGGGAACAAACAGGGGAUUAGAUACCCUGGUAGUCCACGCCCUAAACGAUGUCAACUAGCUGUUGGGGCCUUCGGGCCUUGGUAGCACCAGCUAACGCGUGAGAUUGACCGCCUGGGGAAGUCACGGUCGCAAGAUUAAAACUCAAGAUUGACGGGGACCCGCACAAGCGGUGGAUGAUGUGGAUUAAUUCGAUGCAACGCGAAAACCUUACCUGCCUUGACGUAUCUGGAAUCCCGGGAAUUUGGGAGUGCUCGCAAGAGAACCGGAACACAGAUUACCAUGGCUGUCGUCAGCUCGUGUCGUAGAGAUGUUGGGUUGAUCCCGCAACGAGCGCAACCCUAACAGCCAUUAGUUGCUACGAAAGGGCACUCUAAUGAGACUGCCGGUGACAAACCGGAGGAAGGUGGGGAUGACGUCAAGUCCUCAUGGCCCUUAUGGGUAGGGCCACACGUCAUAUAAUGGUCGGGACAGAGGGUCGCCAACCCGCGAGAGGCCAAUCCCAGCUUGAUCGUAGUCCGGAUCGCAGUCUGCAACUCGACUGCGUGAAGUCGGAAUCGCUAGUAAUCGCGGAUCAGCAUGUCGCGGUGAAUACGUUCCCGGGUCUUGUACACACCGCCCGUCACACCAGGAGUGGGUUUUGCCAGAAGUAGUUAGCCUAACCGUAGAGGGCGAUUACCACGGUAGGAUUCAUGACUGGGGUGAAGUCGUAACAAGGUAACCCUAUUUUCUGAUGUCAG
rnacentral:rRNA from 1 species